rnacentral:rRNA from 1 species
UACGAAGGGGGCUAGCGUUGCUCGGAAUCACUGGGCGUAAAGGGUGCGUAGGCGGGUCUUUUAAGUCAGGGGUGAAAUCCUGGAGCUCAACUCCAGAACUGCCUACUGAUACAGCACGUCUUGAGUUCGAGAGAGGUGGGUGGAAUUCCUAGUGUAGAGGUGAAAUUCGUAGAUAUUAGGAAGAACACCGGUGGCGAAGGCGGCCCAACUGGCUCGAUACGUGACGCUGAGGUGCGAAAGCGUGGGGAGCAAACAGGG